rnacentral:rRNA from 1 species
UACGUAGGCAGCGAGCGUUGUUCGGAGUUACUGGGCGUAAAGAGUGCGUAGGCGGUUUCUAAGUUUGGUGUGAAAUCUCCCGGCUUAACUGGGAGGGUGCGCCGAAAACUGGAAGGCUUGAGUAUGGGAGAGGUAAGCGGAAUUCCUGGUGUAGCGGUGAAAUGCGUAGAUAUCAGGAGGAACACCUGCGGUGUAGACGGCUUACUGGACCAUAACUGACGCUGAGGCACGAAAGCGUGGGUAGCAAACAGG